UAGUGCGGGUUCUGCAAUCGGUCUUGGUGCCAUGUGGAAAUUCCCAUAUAUGGCAGGGAUCUAUGGCGGCGGUGCCUUUCUAGC
rnacentral:snRNA from 1 species